AACUUUUUCAAUAAUUAAUUUAAAAUUCUUAUUCUGCAUGACAUGUGCCUCCUUUGAACCUUGUUACGACCUCGGCACAUUACCCAUCUGACG
rnacentral:snoRNA from 1 species